GAAGGAAUGACUGAGCGGUUUAAAGUGGCAAAUUGUAAAUUUGUUGGAUUCUCCAUCGUAGGUUCAAAUCCUACUUCCUUCA